rnacentral:rRNA from 1 species
UUUUUAAUAUAAUAUUUGAUCCUUUCGUACUAAAAUAUUUAAUAAAUUUAAGAUAGAAACCAACCUGGCUCACACCGGUUUAAACUCAGAUCAUGUAAAAUUUCAAAGGUCGAACAGACCCAAUAUUUUAGCUUCUACACCAAAAAUAAAUUUUAAUCCAACAUCGAGGUCGCAAACCUUUUUUUCAAUAAGAACUAUUAAAAAGAUUACGCUGUUAUCCCUAAGGUAAUUUAAUCUUAUAAUCAUUCUUAUGGAUCAAAAAUUCAAAUACUAUUGUUAUAAUAAAAAAAAAAGUUAAAUUAAUUUUUUUGUCACCCCAACAAAACUUAAAUUAAAUUAAAAAAAAUAAAUCCUAAAAUUUUAAACUUAAUUUUUAGUCAAACUCUAUAGGGUCUUCUCGUCUUUAAAUUAAAUUUAAGCUUUUUAACUUAAAUAUAAAAUUCUAUAAUUAAAAUUGAAACAGUAAUUUUCUCAUCAAACCAUUCAUACAAGCUUUCAAUUAAAAAACUAAUGAUUAUGCUACCUUUGCACAGUCAAUAUACUGCGGCCCUUCAAAUUUCAAGUGGGCAGGCCAAACUUUAAAUUAAAAUC